rnacentral:rRNA from 1 species
AACGUAGGUUCCGAGCGUUAUCCGGAUUUACUGGGCGUAAAGCGCGUUCAGGCGGUUUGGCAAGUCGGGCAUGAAAUCUCUCGGCUCAACCGGGAGAGGUUGUCCGAUACUGCUGGACUUGAGGGCAGUAGAGGGUGGUGGAAUUCCGGGUGUAGUGGUGAAAUGCGUAGAUAUCCGGAGGAACACCAGUGGCGAAAGCGGCCACCUGGACUGCACCUGACGCUGACACGCGAAAGCUAGGGUAGCAAAUGGG